GACGAACGCUGGCGGCGUGCCUAAUACAAGCAAGUAGAACGCUGAAGAGAGGAGCUUACUCUUCUUGGAUGAGUUGCGAACGGGUGAGUAACGCGUAGGUAACCUGCCUUGUAGCGGGGGAUAACUAUUGGAAACGAUAGCUAAUACCGCAUAACAAUGGAUGACACAUGUCAUUUAUUUGAAAGGGGCAAUUGCUCCACUACAAGAUGGACCUGCGUUGUAUUAGCUAGUAGGUGAGGUAAUGGCUCACCUAGGCGACGAUACAUAGCCGACCUGAGAGGGUGAUCGGCCACACUGGGACUGAGACACGGCCCAGACUCCUACGGGAGGCAGCAGUAGGGAAUCUUCGGCAAUAGGGGCAACCCUGACCGAGCAACGCCGCGUGAGUGAAGAAGGUUUUCGGAUCGUAAAGCUCUGUUGUAAGUCAAGAACGGGUGUGAGAGUGGAAAGUUCACACUGUGACGGUAGCUUACCAGAAAGGGACGGCUAACUACGUG
rnacentral:rRNA from 1 species